GAGUAUUGACCGUUUUAGUACCGUUUUGCGUUUACUUAUAAUCGUUUCGUUAACAAUGCUAUGUUUUAUCGGUUUGAAAUGUAUCGGGAAAUCAUUUAUAUCACGUUGAACGAAAUCGAAUCGUCAUUUUCAAACGGACACGCCAACGGCAUUCCGGAGCUAACGCGACGACCCCGCAGAAUUUCCCGCCGUACUAACACAAAAUUU